rnacentral:rRNA from 1 species
GCAAGUCGAACGCACAGCGAAAGGUGCUUGCACCUUUCAAGUGAGUGGCGAACGGGUGAGUAACACGUGGACAACCUGCCUCAAGGCUGGGGAUAACAUUUGGAAACAGAUGCUAAUACCGAAUAAAACUUAGUGUCGCAUGACACAAAGUUAAAAGGCGCUUCGGCGUCACCUAGAGAUGGAUCCGCGGUGCAUUAGUUAGUUGGUGGGGUAAAGGCCUACCAAGACAAUGAUGCAUAGCCGAGUUGAGAGACUGAUCGGCCACAUUGGGACUGAGACACGGCCCAAACUCCUACGGGAGGCUGCAGUAGGGAAUCUUCCACAAUGGGCGAAAGCCUGAUGGAGCAACGCCGCGUGUGUGAUGAAGGCUUUCGGGUCGUAAAGCACUGUUGUAUGGGAAGAACAGCUAGAAUAGGAAAUGAUUUUAGUUUGACGGUACCAUACCAGAAAGGGACGGCUAAAUACGUGCCAGCAGCCGCGGUAAUACGUAUGUCCCGAGCGUUAUCCGGAUUUAUUGGGCGUAAAGCGAGCGCAGACGGUUUAUUAAGUCUGAUGUGAAAGCCCGGAGCUCAACUCCGGAAUGGCAUUGGAAACUGGUUAACUUGAGUGCAGUACAGGUAAGUGGAACUCCU